rnacentral:rRNA from 1 species
UCCUACGGGAGGCAGCAGUGGGGAAUAUUGGACAAUGGACCAAGAGUCUGAUCCAGCAAUUCUGUGUGCACGAUGAAGUUUUUCGGAAUGUAAAGUGCUUUCAGUUGGGAAGAAGAAAGUGACGGUACCAACAGAAGAAGCGACGGCUAAAUACGUGCCAGCAGCCGCGGUAAUACGUAUGUCGCAAGCGUUAUCCGGAUUUAUUGGGCGUAAGGCGCGUCUAGGUGGUUGCAUAAGUCUGAUGUGAAAAUGCGGGGCUCAACUCCGUAUUGCGUUGGAAACUGUGCGACUAGAGUACUGGAGAGGUAAGCGGAACUACAAGUGUAGAGGUGAAAUUCGUAGAUAUUUGUAGGAAUGCCGAUGGGGAGGCCAGCCUACUGGACAGAUACUGACGCUAAAGCGCGAAAGCGUGGGUAGCAAACAGGAUUAGAUACCCUGGUAGUCC